GCCAUUGUUGGGUAUUUUAAACGCAAACAGAAAAAAUCCGCAAGCGCACGGAUACCGAUGUAGCUUUCACCCGGGAGUAUUCCAGAGUAUCGAUUUUCCACAGGGAACGUGAGUGUACUAAUUAAGAUUCAAGAUCGCCCAAUGAUAACUAUAUAUUUAUUUUUGGUGCGAAGAGAGGAAGUUUCCUGAGAGUUCUCUAGUUGAUCUAAGAAUCAAGAAUUACUUAAAAGAUUAUUUAUUUCGGGACAUCAGAACACUAACCACAAAAAGAGACGAGAAGGGGGCUAAGAAGCUCUCACUAUGGUCCUACAACACCGAUCCAAACGAGGUGGAAUACGUCGACGUUACGGCUGUCACUACCCUAGGGCUACCACAACAAUCCACAAGAUUAGGUGCAAUUCCAGGUAAUUGCAAGACUAAACACCAUGUCUAAUCUACUAAUUACUACUCUAGCGUUUCAAAGACUAGAGCACUUGAUGCAAGCGGGAAUCCAAUAAAUAAUUUAAAUAUAAAUAAAAGUAAUUAAAGAACUCAGGAAUUAUGAAUUGAAGAACUUGGAGAACGAUGAAGAACGAACCAGUUGCGGCAAAAGUACAAUGUUGAGCAAGAUCCGACAGAUCUGGCUUCUCCUCCGCUCUCAGAUUACAACUAGAACUAACUAGAACUAGAUGAACUAGAACUAGAACUAGAUGAACUAGAGGGAUCCUCUCUACUUGGAUGAAUAAUUGAAACCCUAGCUUUGAUUCUGUAGAAGAUGUAUGUUCUCCAUGGGGCAGAGGGCCUGCUUAUAUAGCCCAUCCAGAUGAACGUGGGCCGUCGGAUCAAACCGACCUUAAUUGCACGGUUUUCCUUGAUCCUCAAAGGCGGUGGAGCACGAUUCGCGAGACCAACCCUGAUUGGUCACCAGGGCAGGGCGGGCACCCAAGGGCGGUGGAGCACGAUCCCGCUCGGCCUCCCGCUCGUUCCCGUAGCUUCUGGACUCUUCUAGAUGUUGGAUAAUUGCGGUGCACGUUAAUAUCUCUAUGUAAACCCGACGUGUGGACCUUUCCUCCAUAUUUCCUGAUAACCCCCUGCAGAAAUAGACAAACACCAAAACUCGUAGAAUUCUGUCAGAUGAAACCCUAAUUUUGGAUGUUGGUUGCAUAUAGGUCCUUUUCCAUGAUUAGUUGACGGUUAAAUGUGAGCAUUAAGGACCGUCAACAAGCUCCCCCAAGCUUAACCUUUGCUUGUCCCUGAGCAAGGAUGGACUCAAGAGUUUCUGCAGUGGUUUCAUGCCUUAAAGGUAUACAUGCGUUCAAACAAGAUCUUAUCUCUGGGUUAGGGUAAACUGUUAAGAUUUAAACUUACUCAUUUUUCCUUCCACCAUGGGGCUUGCAACCGUCACUUGUGUCUUGAGCAGUUAAAAGAUAGAACGGUCUAGUCAAGCGCCAUGUUUCUUGUUCUUCAAUUAACUAUAGCUCUGGAGUUUUUGUAGAUUUUCAAAUAAAACUCAGAGAUUCCUUGUAUGACUCUCUCUAGUAUCUCUUUUGUGGUAUUUCUAGAUCCUUACCAAGGCAGUAACGGUGUAUGCCUUCUCUCUAAGUAUGUGGUAUUUUUGGUAUGAGGCAUAGUGGCAUUGCCUUCUCUCUCACCCUACUCUAAUAAGGUUUUGAUAUCUGGAGCUCAUAGGUGGGAGACAGCUAAUACAUACUUACAGGACAUUUAUUGCAUAGUUAAACCAUGGAUCUAGAAGAACAAGUUAAUAAGUCAAAUCAAGAUGUGCAUGUGUGGCGAAUGAAUGGUGAUAAUGGUGAAAAUAAUGGUGAAAGUCUAAUUAUACUUUUGCUUUUUUGAGGGGGUACAUACCUUCCUUGCACUUGAGGCUUUUGAGGGGAAUGAGAUGCUCUAUAUUUUAUUUUUCUUUUCUCUCAGGUGGGUAUCUUGUAUCUCUAAUUCUACUGUCGGACACUUGUCCAUUUUUACCUUUCCUUUCACUUUUUCUUUUUUUUCUAGGUUUUGGGCACUUGCCCCUUUUUAUUUCCUCAUAUUCACUUUUUUUUCAGAGCACUCACCCUCCUGGAAUAAUGUAGCAAGUGGUAGUAACCAAAAUAUCUCGAGCAUUUAUUUCACGGGGAACAACAGGGAUAGGAUAAUGUUUUUGGCUAUUCUAUCCUAGAUAGGAGUAGAAUAAUUUUGGAUGAAUCUGGAUAUGGAAAUGAGUGGAUGUAUGUGGAUGCGUACUUCCGGAGUAGAAGCAGCAUGUAUGAGUGAACGUGCAAGUGAAUCUUGAUUUUAACCGCAUGACAAGCUCCUAAGGGUCUACACAGCUUGACCACACUCAAUGCUCAUAAGCAGUAAAAAGUAAAUGUAUGGUUCAUAGUCUAAUAAGCAUGUAUAUAUGGUUGUGGUAGGAUUUUAAACUCUCAUCAUACAGGAACUCAUCAUGCAACAUUUUAAAGAUUUUUAAAGAUAAAACUCUCCAGAAUUCUAGCAUCUCUAGGGACAGAUAAACAGUAGCUCAACCUUCCCAUAUCAUAUCUGUUAACGACUUAGACUUUAGAUCAAGUACUCUUCCCACAAGUUCAGGUUUAGAGCAAAUCUUAAUUAAUAACAGUCAUGCCUAAACUUGAGAGAGAUUUCAAUUUUGAGAACUAGUCAUGGCAGAGCAACUAUUCAUCAUUUCCAUGUGAGAGCUUAUCAUGAGGGUUCAUAGCAAACUUUAUUUAUUUAUUUAGCAAACUAAGCAAAGAUUAUAUAUAAGCACAAAAUCUUUAUUUGGGUUUUUAUGAUUAUGCAUCUUUUUAUUAUUUGAGUAAAGUAUAAACGUGAGUAGAACACUUAGCUGGAUAAAUGGGGGUGCUCUCCCCUAAGCUGGAUUUUGACGUAAUUUCUUCUGAUGUAGCUAGCAGGUGGCGGAGGUGUAUUUGAAUGUCGGCAGCACCCUGACCGCGAUUAGGAUGUCCUCCGUCUGCUAGUCUUCUUUGAUCCUUGAAUUCUGUGGAGCUCAAAUAGACAACAAAGCUUUGUGGAACUAGUUAAGUGUUAGCAUAAGUAUCUAGCCUUUAUCAUGUUGAGCCUCACUCUCUUUAGUAAGAUCACAAUCUUAUUUUUAUAUUUUCAUUUUUAUAGGACAAGAAUAUAUUUAUUUUAUUUUUACACCACCAUAGUGAAUGUACUUAUGGGUUUUAUGGCACGAGCAUACUCACAUGGGGCUUACUUUUUUUAACAGUUUUAUUUUCUUUUUAAGAUAGCAUGAUUAACUAACAAGCCAUUUAAUGAAAGUAAAUAAUUUAAGGAAAAAGGGAAUGCUGAAAGGAUAAAUAUGGAUAACUACCAAUUUUACCUUUCGGUGAGGGUUCAAUGUUUUAAGUCUUCUGAACAAGACUUCUCACCGUGUUCAUUCUUUAGGUGCGUCAUUUGAUUCAGGUGCGGACCUUGACGUCUGCACCUCUUGAUACGGUGUCACCCAUGUUCUUCGUUUGCCCAGCAGUUCAAAGUGCGGCGUUGGUAGCAUCCUGCUUAGUGUGUUUGUGCUCGUAGAUCUAGGUCCUUCACUUGGUGGAGUCUGGGAGUUGUAAAACUCCUCCAUGUUUUGCUCGAAGUAUACCUGCUCAUAGAGACAAGGCAGAGAUCAAGUGCAUGGGCCCUGUUGGUGGAAAACACCAGCAGAACCAAAAGUGUAUUUUUUCUUCUCUAACCUUAAGCAUAGUGAGUAAGACAAAGUUAAUGGAUAAUAAGAUCAUGAGUGUAGCAUUUAAAACAUUUGUCAGAUCAGAUCGCUCAACCUAAUGGGAUCACAAAGGUGGAAGGACUAAACAUAUUGAAUCGAUCGGGUUGGUUAAUCUAGAGUUGUAAAUCAUACAUGUUUGUCUCUUUUAUUCAUGUGAAUGCCAGAACCAAGGAGAAGCUUAUAAAAUUGAUAGUCAAGUACCUUAAGAUGUUACCUUACUCGAAGAGUGAUGGUACAGUAUCACCUUGUGGAAGCUUUCCUUUCUUAGCGGUUGUGCAACGUGUUUGUGGCACCCUCCAUGGAUUAUCUCUUAUAAGCUAUGUCUUCCUUGUGUAAAUUGUUAAACUUCAUGUGUCUCUCUCUCUUUGUCUCUAAUGUGGGUUUAUCUCAGGACUUCCCAGGUCGAUAUUGAAAGUUUUCCUACAGGGGUUAGUCCAACAAAAUAUCCAAUGUCUACUAUAGCAUACUAUCGGCUCAAAAAUCAACCUAGACACCAUGUCUAAUUUGAUUUAGGAGGGCAUUUUAACCUAAGCACCAUGCUUAAUUUAAAAUCCCUUGGAACUAAGAUCAUCAUUCCUAAACUAAGCACCAUGCUUAAUUAAGAGAUAAAUGAAACUACUCCAAACCUAGACAUAUACUAAAGCAAAUAAAGGUAGCAUGAGAGCAUUUAU
rnacentral:lncRNA from 1 species